CCUACGGGAGGCAGCAGUCGAGAAUCAUGCACAAUGGGGGAAACCCUGAUGCAGCGACGCCGCGUGGGUGAAUGAAGCCCUCGGGAUGUUAAACCCUUGUCGCGGGGGAGCAAAUGAAGAGGAUAGUACCACAAGAGGAAGACACUACUAACUCUGUGCCAGCAGCCGCGCUAAUACGGAGGGCGCAAGCGUUGUUCGGAAUGACUGGGCGUAAAGCGGACGAAGGCGGUUUCGUAAGUCGUGUGUGAAAGGCCCGGGCUCAACCCGGGGACGGCAUCUGAUACUGGGAAGCUAGAGUGAUGGAGGGGGAAGCGGAAUUCCAGGUGUAGCAGUGAAAUGCGUAGAUAUCGAGAGGAACACUCGUGGCGAAGGCGGGUUCCUGGACAUUAACUGACGCUGAGGCACGAAGGCCAGGGGAGCGAACGGGAUUAGAUACCCCAGUAGUC
rnacentral:rRNA from 1 species